UACGUAGGGGGCAAGCGUUGUCCGGAUUUAUUGGGCGUAAAGAGCGUGUAGGCGGCUUCACAGGUCCGCUGUGAAAACUCGAGGCUCAACCUCGAGCUGUCGGUGGAAACCGUGUAGCUAGAGUCCGGAAGAGGAGAGUGGAAUUCCCGGUGUAGCGGUGAAAUGCGCAGAUAUCGGGAAGAACACCCGUGGCGAAGGGGGCUCUCUGGGACGGUACUGACGCUGAGACGCGAAAGCGUGGGGAGCGAACAGG
rnacentral:rRNA from 1 species